AAAGAAAAUACACUUUAGCUAAGUUUCCCAUUGAGUGAGUGAGGAGCCAGGUCAGGAGGCUGGCGCGCGACUGACCUCUCUGCCAUGCCGGGCAUGUCCGGACCCAUCAGUCCUUCUUUCACCUGACGUCAUGCGCAGAAGAGACAAAUUUAGGUACCUCGCCACCCCGCCCCCCCUAGUGAACCUACCUUUCAUUCUCUUUACCUUGACAGAAGGUAUAAUAGUAAUGGACAUGGAUAGGAUUUUAGCAGGGACUCUCUUGUCAACGCAAUGUUAACUUCAGAUUAUCUCCUGAAACACUUUUCACGUUCAUGAAAACGUAAAUUGUCUCGGUUAUAGCCACAGUGGUAUCGUUACGGCAAAUAUCGUGAUUUCGGUGCCUGAAGGCAUCAAACAUUCGAUGUCGCACGAACGACUGGAAGACAUGGAUCAUCGUCCUUCGCACAAAUAGCGACAGCGUCAUGCACUCGUGAUGAGCGAGUCUUUGACAACGUGGGCCAAGUCAAUCCGCCAAUUUACAAUGAUUUUGGCUGCUUUCACUUAGUGGCUGCCCUAUCGUCCUGGCCGAUAAAUGGGUAUACCUGAGGAAACCUGGGGAGCUAAACUGUUGGAACCCGGAUGUCACAAUGGCCCUGUCCCGGGGUAAUGGGUUACUACCCGCCAUGCUCAUUGGCCAAUGUGACGGAGAUGAACACCGAGGCCACGCGCAGCUUUAGUAUAAGUUGCCGAGUUUGUUUUGGCUCAACACAAAAAAAAGUACAUAUAAUAAAAUAAUAAAAAAUGAUAACAAUGAAAAUGAGUAUAAAUGAAAUGGGAAUAACAUAAAUGAAUGCCUAAAUAAAUAUAGAAGAAAAAACCCCACACACUUGUAAGGCAGCACAGGUGGCCGCGCCGCGCCGCGCUCCGCCCCACAUGCAGGUAUUGAAAGGGCGACUCCGCUAGGACAGUUACACUGCUGCUGCGGCCUGCGACUCCACCACGACCACGCCCGCCCUGCAGCACGACCACCAGCUCUGUCUGUCUGUUUGCCUGUCACCGCAGAGAUCAUCGACACCAGCCGCGAUGAGGACUGCGCUUAUAGUAGGACUACUGACACUGCUGGCUCUGGACGUCUGUCAAUCCGAACUUAGAACAUGCACUCAGAUCGGCCCCUGUCUUGAUGGCCCCAACCCGGGGGAAUGCGUUUCUAGUGCUGAUGUGUGCGACGGUGGAAAUGAAUACAUAACAGAUGAUGACUGUGGUUUAUGCACGUGUUGCAAGACCUGUGAGCCAGACGAUUCGUGUGCCUGUAAGAAUGGGAUAUGCGUCAACCCAACUCAAGUAUCUGGACUGACAUACUUUCCUCACGAUCUAUGUCCCGAGGGAUAUCGUCAUUUUAUGGAAGGCAAUUGCGGCACUGAUGACUACAUCUGCUGUGUUCUAAGGCCCUGACCCAGGACUGACCCUGCCCUGACAUGCCCUUGACCUGACCUGCCUCACCUUCAUGCACGUACUUCCUGCACGUGCGCCGUGCACGCUGAUCCUCUGCAGAGUAUUCAAUUAUCCUUCUUCUUGGGCUUGAUGCCAGAGCACCCUUCUGCAAAGAAAAAAAAAAAAAAUGCACAAACGUAAAUAGAGAGAUUACAUAAAACUUAACAUUUCAGCAGACAUGAAUUGUGACUUUCCAAAUUCUAUGUAUGUUCAGCUCGCAAUAUGUGUGUACCAGCUGUUCAGAAUUAUGCUGCAAAUAAAAUAGAAACAAUCCUUAAAAGUUUUGAUAGAGGCAAGUACCAGCGUAGAGUCCUGCAGGAAGGUAGGAUAUCCUGUCCCCUUUAUCAUCAGAGCCUCAACUCCCAACGAUACUGCUCGAGGAUUACUUUCUAUACAUCUUUAAGGAGUUGCAAAGGCCGAUAAUUCAGUGCCAUGUUUCCAAGCUCCUCUGUCACAUGCCAAGACCUAAACUAUCAGCUCCGGUUGUAUCUACAAGCAAUACAAUUCAACGCACUAGUCUCCUUUGUCUGUCUGAUUCUUUAGUUAUUUUCUUACAUCAGAGGAAGCAGUCAAAGGCACAAACACGUAAAAAUCAGGAGAGGGAAAAAAGACCCCAAAACCAAGUCAACGCACUAGUCU